CUGCGACGUUCCCUCCAUAACAUCCAUUUUGCGUGCUACCCCGAAUCCCUAAAUAUCCCUACAAAAUUCCCACGGAAGCAAUAAAUUGAUUAUUCGCUGAAGCAAAUAACUCCUUUAUCGCUUCCGCGGUAGCAAGCAAUGCAUAAAACCUAAACUUUAGCGGCAAUUUAUCAGCCUGAUGAGCUCCGUUUUCUGUGCGAAGGACUGCAUGCAAAAAAUCAAUGACAGUACACCGUUCUGGAUAAAAUAAUGGCAAUGUGCAGGAGCACAAUGCCGAUUUAAUGAUUAACACAAAAAUAACAAAUUACAGAUAAAUGUUACAAAUUUAGUAUUCAUGCAUAGCACAGAAAAGGUGGGGUGUUAAAAAACGCCACAAGCCGACUAG